UUUUCUGUUGGAGUUAUUAAGGAUCAUAUAUUUUGGAAUGGUAUUAACGAAAGUUAUAAGCAUUGGAGGUGGCAUGGGAAACCUGCUACAUCUGCUAUGAAUGACAAUAGAGUUGAAUCUGACACUGUAGAUUGGGACCCUGGGAUGGGGGAGAAUGAUUGGGGCUUUGGGGAAAGUGAGGAUGAGCAGAUUUCCGAAGACUCUAAUGAGUUUUUGAAGUAGAUAGAGGAUGGGGAUCAACCUUUGUACCCUGGUUGUACGAAGACAACCAAGUUGAAUAGUCUGAUUCAGACCUUCAAUUUGAAAGCAAAGCAUGGAAUGACCGAUGCUUGCUAUUCAGAUAUGCUUAUCAUGAUUGGGGGUAUUUCAUGGAUCCGCUAAAGAAGCGACUCAUCACCGGUGAAUGGAGAACUAUUGUGGACAACUCCAUCAAAAUAUUCAAUGCACAAAAACAUAGGAAAGGCCGAAAGACAGUUGAAUGGAAAAACUGUGCAGCAUUCCGGAGCAGAUGGGUGAUAAGACUUGUGGAUAUUGGAUUAUACAUUACAUGAGGGAUAUAGUAGAGGACAAAAACCAAGAGUGGAGUGCUAAGUGGGAAAGAAAAGCAAAUCACUAUUACACAAUGGAGAAUGUUGAUGUUGUCCGGGCAGAGUGGGCAAAGUAUGUUAUGAAGUUCAAAGAUAACUAGUGCAUGUGUAGGUUAACUAGUAGUUGGAGAUAUGUAGCAUCAACUUUUGGACAUGCAUAGUUGAUAUAUAUAUAUAUAUAUAUAUAUAUAUAUAUAUAGGCCAGAUUUUGAUUGCAGUACUGCUAGCUAUUUUGCUAUGUUGUUUAGUUGGUUGCCCACAUUGUGUAGUGCUUCUGGUUUAUUAGCAAGUAGUACUGCAUGCAUAUAUUUUGCUGGCUGCCCAGAUUAGUAGA